UCUCAAGCGGGCCAGUGCCAGCCAGGGCUGCAGAGGAGCCACGUCAGCACGGUAAGUCACUGCGCCCCAGGGAAGCAGAGGAAAUGGCACAAGUUACGCCCAAUGUCAAUGUCAGCAAAACACCCAGGAAUGGGAAAGACCCAGCACACACACCCAAGAGCCAGAGGCAGUGGAGCAUGCUGUGACCCGGUGCUUGGAGUCACCGGAGCCUCCAUGUGACAUUGGAGAGAAGAAAACCGGGUAACAGUAUGAGGCGAUUUGCUGUACCACUUUAAGAAGAUACACGAUGGCUUUGAGAAGACCUAAAUUUAAAUGAGAUGUCAUCUUGCUAAAUAUAUCAAGAAGAAUGUCAGAGAUUCAUUUCUAUGUUCAAGAAGGAGAGUGGAGUGAGGCAUAAGAGGCGCCUGUGCAUUGGUAGCAAUCCCAGUGUCUAACAAUGAUUUGGGAUGGUCAGUAUACAGAGGACACUUAGAAAACUUGGGAAGAAUCUUCUUAAACCCUGGAGCCCUAAGGAUGGUUUGUUAUGAUCACCUGACCUGUCAAAACCAGUGCUGAUGCCCUAAUCCCUUAUCUGGAAAAAUCCCCUGCU